UACGGAGGGGGCUAGCGUUGUUCGGAAUUACUGGGCGUAAAGCGCACGUAGGCGGACCAGAAAGUCAGAGGUGAAAUCCCAGGGCUCAACCUUGGAACUGCCUUUGAAACUCCUGGUCUUGAGGUCGAGAGAGGUGAGUGGAAUUCCGAGUGUAGAGGUGAAAUUCGUAGAUAUGACAUAGAACACCAGUGGCGAAGGCGGCUCACUGGCACGAUACUGACGCUGAGGCGCGAAAGCGUGGGGAUCAAACAGG
rnacentral:rRNA from 1 species